rnacentral:misc_RNA from 1 species
UAACAAGCCAAACAAGAAAAUUUUGAUCAGCAAUUUGGAUACACAUUUUUAGAAACUACAAUAUUGCGAGGUGUCUCUAGUACAAGCACUCUUUAGGCAUUUGAUUGAAUCUUGCAGUAUCCUUACAAUAAUCAUACACCAAGUACUUGUUUUGAACCAUUUUGAAUUGGCGUUUUUUGCUCUUUUCUAGCCCAUUCUUGGAUGGUUUAUCCCACAAAAAUUUAGCUAACUUGCCACAUUUUGCACCUGCAGCAAUUGUGUCCUCACCACACAAAUCACAAGCAUCGAUCUCGAACGAUCGAAA